rnacentral:rRNA from 1 species
CCCUUAGAUGUCCUUGGCCGCACGCGUGCAACACUGACGCCUACAGCGGGUACUUCCCAGCCCCAAGAGGUGGCUGGUAAUCAGCAAUAGGCGUCGUGAUCGGGAUAGAUCUUUGGAAUUAUGGAUCUUGAAUCGAGGAAUGCCUAUUAGGCGCAGGUCAUUAGCCUGCGCUGAUUAAGUCCCAGCCCUUUGUACACACCGCCCGUCGCUCCUACCGAUUUCGAGUGGUCCAGUGAAUCUUUCGGACUGCGCGCGGCUUUGUACCAGUGUCGCGGAAAGUCAGGUAAACCUUAUCACUUAGAGGAAGGAGAAGUCGUAACA